rnacentral:rRNA from 1 species
CAGUAGCCGCGGUAAUACGAAGGGUGCAAGCGUUAAACGGAAUUACUGGGCGUAAAGCGUGCGUAGGCGGUUUGUUAAGUCUGUUGUGAAAUCCCCGGGCUCAACCUGGGAAUGGCAAUGGAUACUGGCAAGCUAGAGUGUGUCAGAGGAUGGUGGAAUUCCCGGUGUAGCGGUGAAAUGCGUAGAGAUCGGGAGGAACAUCAGUGGCGAAGGCGGCCAUCUGGGACAACACUGACGCUGAGGCACGAAAGCGUGGGGAGCAAACAGGAUUAGAUACCCCUGUAGUCCCUGUCUCUUAUAC